UACGGGGGGGGCAAGCGUUGUUCGGAAUUACUGGGCGUAAAGGGCUCGUAGGUGGCCAACUAAGUCAGACGUGAAAUCCCUCGGCUUAACCGGGGAACUGCGUCUGAUACUGGAUGGCUUGAGUUUGGGAGAGGGAUGCGGAAUUCCAGGUGUAGCGGUGAAAUGCGUAGAUAUCUGGAGGAACACCGGUGGCGAAGGCGGCAUCCUGGACCGGUAUUGACGCUGAGGCGCGAAAGCUAGGGGAGCAAACGGG
rnacentral:rRNA from 1 species